rnacentral:rRNA from 1 species
AUGCGGGCCCUUUUCUGGAACAUCCGCGGCUUCGGCCAUGAUGGCCGUCACCGCCAACUCAUCGAGUACAUGCGAGACGAACACAUUGACAUCAUUGCCAUCCAGGAAACCAUGCGCACCGUGUUCUCCCUCCACGAGCUCUAAUGUCUUAGUUCCCACCUCUUCGCCUGGCAUUGGCUCCCUUCUAGUGGGACCACAGGCCAUUCUGGCGGCAUCCUUUUAGGGGUAAAGGAUGCCACCUUUGAGGUGGGUGGCAUGGACCGGGGUGAAUUCUUCCUUAGUAUGGAGAUCUUCGAGCGUGCUCUUAACUUCAAAUGGGAGGUCGUGAUUGUGUAUGGACCGGCGGACCACCGGCGCUCCCUGGCCUUCCUGACGGAGCUACAUCUGAAGAUCUCCAACUCCCUCCUCCCAGUUGUAGUGGGCGGAGACUUUAACCUCAUCCGAUCCCUAGAUGAGAAGAAUAAUGACCGGAUUAACCUCCCCCGGAUGCAGUUAUUCAAUGACUGGAUCGCAGAGCUGGGUCUCUAUGAGCUAGAUCGGACGGGUGCCAGGUUCACUUGGACAAACCGUCAGGUUGACCCGACGCAAUCCGUCUUGGAUCACGUCCUAGUUUCCCCGGAGUGGGAAUUAUGUUGCCCCCUGGCCUCGCUUCGUGCGAUUACCCGGAUCGGGUCUGACCAUGUCCCUCUCCUCCUCUCCACCGCUGACGAGCGCCCCCCACCCCGCCACGUUUCCGGUUCGAGCUCUUCUGGCUUAAUCAGGUCGGCUUGCGGGAGGCUGCCGUCGCUCGCUGGAUCUCCGCUCGCUCUUCCCCUCAUCGCGCCAUGUCCACAGUCGACUCGUGGCACUUCUGUGCCAAACUCGCCCACCAAUUCAUGA